rnacentral:misc_RNA from 1 species
GUGAAUCAUCGAAUUUUUGAACGCAAAUUGCACUCUCUGGUAUUCCGGAGAGGAUGCCUGUUUGAGGGUCAGUUUAAAUAAAAAUCGGUGUGGUUGCUGCCUUUCGUGGUGACGCACCGGAUUUGGGUCGUCUUGCCUUUGGUUAAGUGAUCUAUUAUUUUGCAUGAGUUUUUUCGAAUGUAUUUAAGUGAUUUUACGAACGGUGGCGUUAUAGAAUACUAGGCGUGGUCAUCUUCAUGAUU